rnacentral:rRNA from 1 species
AACCAACAGGGAUUGCCUUAGUAACGGCGAGUGAAGCGGCAAUAGCUCAAAUUUGAAAGCUGGCCCCUUCGGGGUCCGCGUUGUAAUUUGUAGAGGAUGAUUCGGCGAGGGCUCCCGUCUAAGUCCCUUGGAACAGGGCGUCAUAGAGGGUGAGAAUCCCGUAUGUGAUGGGCUGCCUUAGCCAUGUGAAUCUCCUUCGACGAGUCGAGUUGUUUGGGAAUGCAGCUCUAAAUGGGAGGUAAAUUUCUUCUAAAGCUAAAUACCGGCCAGAGACCGAUAGCGCACAAGUAGAGUGAUCGAAAGAUGAAAAGCACUUUGGAAAGAGAGUUAAAAAGUACGUGAAAUUGUUGAAAGGGAAGCGCUUGCAGCCAGACUUGUCCGCAGUUGCUCAGCUUGUCUCCUGACAGGCGUACUCUUCUGCGGCCAGGCCAGCAUCAGUUCGGGCGGUCGGAUAAAGACCUAGGGAAUGUAGCUCCUCUCGGGGAGUGUUAUAGCCCUGGGUGCAAUGCGGCCAGCCUGGACUGAGGAUCUCGCUUCGGCUAGGAUGCUGGCGUAAUGGCUGUAAGCGGCCCGUCUUGAAACACGGACCAAGGAGUCUAACAUCUAUGCGAGUGUUUGGGUGUCAAACCCAUGCGCGUAAUGAAAGUGAACGGAGGUGGGAACCCUCACGGGUGCACCAUCGACCGAUCCUGAUGUCUUCGGAUGGAUUUGAGUAAGAGCAUAGCUGUUGGGACCCGAAAGAUGGUGAACUAUGCCUGAAUAGGGUGAAGCCAGAGGAAACUCUGGUGGAGGCUCGCAGCGGUUCUGACGUGCAAAUCGAUCGUCAAAUUUGGGUAUAGGGGCGAAAGACUAAUCGAACCAUCU